rnacentral:rRNA from 1 species
AGCGACUGUGCAGGUUACCGCGGCUGCUGGCACGGAGUUAGCCGGUGCUUCUUCUGUGAGUGAUGUCCUUCCUGCCGGCUAUUAACCCGCAGGCCUUCUUCCUCACUGAAAGUGCUUUACAACCCGAAGGCCUUCUUCACACACGCGGCAUGGCUGGAUCAGGGUUGCCCCCAUUGUCCAAUAUUCCCCACUGCUGCCUCCCGUAGGAGUCUGGGCCGUGUCUCAGUCCCAGUGUGGCUGAUCAUCCUCUCAGACCAGCUACGGAUCGUCGCCUUGGUGAGCCGUUACCUCACCAACCAGCUAAUCCGACAUAGGCUCAUCCGAUAGCGCGAGGCCCGAAGGUCCCCCGNUUUCCCCCGGUAGGGCGUAUGCGGUAUUAGCCUGGGUUUCCCCAGGUUAUCCCCCACUACCGGGCAGAUUCCUAUGCAUUACUCACCCGUCCGCCGCUCGCCACCAGGGAGCAAGCUCCCCGUGCUGCCGCUCGACUUGCAUGUGUUAGGCCUGCCGCCAGCGUUCAAU